GACAGAGGGUGCAAACGUUGUUCGGAUUUACUGGGCGUAAAGGGCGCGUAGGCGGCGCGGUAAGUCACUUGUGAAAUCUCUGAGCUUAACUCAGAACGGCCAAGUGAUACUGCAGUGCUAGAGUGUGGAAGGGGCAAUCGGAAUUCUUGGUGUAGCGGUGAAAUGCGUAGAUAUCAAGAGGAACACCUGAGGUGAAGACGGGUUGCUGGGCCAAAACUGACGCUGAGGCGCGAAAGCCAGGGGAGCAAACGGG
rnacentral:rRNA from 1 species